ensembl:lncRNA
CAGGCGCUGGCGUCGAUUAUCACAAAAUCUUUGCUCAUUGGCCGCUCAAUGCCUUUAAAGGUUGUUUGAUGUCUCUUUGUGUUUAGAAGUUCUGGACCAAUGGAUUUGCAAGAGGUGUGGCCUAAUAGGUAGACACAUAACAGUAGGGGCCCUCUCCAGCAUGUCUCAGCAUGUUCACAUCGACUCUCUGAACAUUCCCCAAUGUUUCUAUGAUAUUUAAACAAUAGUUUGCUGAAAUGAGCUGUGCAGAUUUAUCCUCCAUGUCAGGAAAGUAGGAUUGGAAAUAUUGAAGCAAGUUGGUCAAAUGUCCCACUGUGACCGAAAUGACUGGACGUCCGUCCACAUCGUCAGUGGAGAGAGAGCAGAGGUCAGUCUCUGUUCCACAGCUCUGCUCUCUUCAGGAAGGGCUAAUCUUGUCAAUCAGACUGGAUUUGUCACAAAGGUCGCAGCGGCGUGGUGGCAUGGCAGGAAGGAGGACCCAAACGUUCCACGCAGAAAAAUACUUACAAAAUUCAAAAAUGCCGAGUGGAAAAACCGCAGACAAGCCGAGGACCAGGACCGCCAAGAACACGUACGACAUUCAAGCAGAACAUACAAUGACGCAACAAAGGACAACCGACACACAUGGCUUUAUUUCACAUUAUUUUUUAUUUUAUUUCUCGUGCACCGUUGUCUGCUGUCAAGUCCGAUUCCUUGUAUGUGUGACAUAUUAUGGCCAUAAAUGUUUCCUGGUCCUCCUGUCAUCAGAGGGGAUGACGGGAGAGGGCAGGAAGUGAAGCUAACCAAGGGACACAAGAGGCAGGAAACUACAAAAUAAAACAGGAAAUAAACCCAAGCCGUGACAGGAUUAAGUCAUUUAUGAAAUGGUGAACUACGUAUUUGGAAAUUAGGUUAAUAUAUGAGCAGCCAAUGCUGAUGUGCCUUUCCCUCUCUGUCUGUGUGUCAGACAACACUAAAGAACUUGUUCUAUCAGACAAAGAUGAUGCAAAACUCCCCUCUAAUCUUCCGCAUGGAGAGAAGGAGGCUGCGUGUUUGAGUAAAAUGAUUUUGUGUUAUAGUAAUAUUUGUUAGGUUAAUUGUCACAAUUUGUAUUUUGUAAGUAAUUGUAAGUACCAGUGAGAAAUGGAAUUAUUCAAGUAAAUUGAUAUAUGGCAUUCAUGUAAUAAAUAAACA